UACGGAGGGGGUUAGCGUUGUUCGGAAUGACUGGGCGUAAAGCGCGCGUAGGCGGAUCAUCAAGUCGGGGGUGAAAUCCCGGGGCUCAACCCCGGAAUGGCCUUCGAGACUGUAUGGCUUGAGACCGGAAGAGGUAAGUGGAACUGCGAGUGUAGAGGUGAAAUUCGUAGAUAUUCGCAAGAACACCAGUGGCGAAGGCGGCUUACUGGUCCGGUUCUGACGCUGAGGCGCGAAAGCGUGGGGAGCAAACAGG
rnacentral:rRNA from 1 species